rnacentral:rRNA from 1 species
AACGUAGGUGGCAAGCGUUAUCCGGAUUUACUGGGCGUAAAGCGUGUGCAGGCGGUUUAGUAAGUGGUGUAUGAAAUCUCCGCGCUUAACGUGGAGGGGUUAUGCCAGACUGCUGAACUAGAACCCAUCAGAGGGACGUGAAUUCCAGGUGUAGCGGUGAAAUGCGUAGAUAUCUGGAGGAACACCGGUGGCGAAGGCGGCAUCCUGGACCGACACUGACGCUGAGGAGCGAAAGCCAGGGGAGCAAACGGG